rnacentral:lncRNA from 1 species
UUCAUCUUCUUUGUUUAGGCUUAUCAACCCUAAAAAUUGCAAGAUCUAACCAUAAAAUAGCAUAUAUCAUGUAGAUCUUCCCUCAUAUGGAUCAUAAGUUCAACACUUGGUCUAAAACAACCAUCACAAAACACAUAAACUAACUAGAGUUUUGAGUUUAGGAAAUUUUAUACCUUUGAUUCCAACCAAAAAUCAACACCCAAUAUUGUUAGAUCUAAACAUGAAACACUUAUAUAUACAUAGAUCUAAGGUUUUAAACCUCAAG